GCGGCAUUAGCUCAGUUGGAUAGAGCAACGGCCUUCUAAGCCGUGUGGGUCGCAGGUUCGAAUCCUGCAUGCUGCACCA
rnacentral:tRNA from 1 species